rnacentral:other from 1 species
GAGUGCCUGCGGAGUGCGGGCGGAGUGAAAAUCUCUUGGAGCAAACCAUAGUAAAAGGGAUUUUUCCAGGAUCAAUUGACAUUCCUUUGGGAAUACUCAUGCAAUCUGAGGACUAAAAACCCACCUGAACAAUGAGUUCAAGAGAUUAUCUCCAAGCGGCUUUGCGGGUUUUUA